UGGGGAAUAUUGCACAAUGGGCGCAAGCCUGAUGCAGCCAUGCCGCGUGUAUGAAGAAGGCCUUCGGGUUGUAAAGUACUUUCAGUCGGGAGGAAGGUGGUAAGGUUAAUAACCUUAUCAAUUGACGUUACCGACAGAAGAAGCACCGGCUAACUCCGUGCCAGCAGCCGCGGUAAUACGGAGGGUGCAAGCGUUAAUCGGAAUUACUGGGCGUAAAGCGCACGCAGGCGGUUGAUUGAGUCAGAUGUGAAAGCCCCCGGCUCAACCGGGGAGGGUCAUUGGAAACUGGGAGACUUGAGUGCAGAAGAGGAGAGUGGAAUUCCAUGUGUAGCGGUGAAAUGCGUAGAUAUAUGGAGGAACACCAGUGGCGAAGGCGGCUCUCUGGUCUGUAACUGACGCUGAGGCUCGAAAGCGUGGGGAGCAAACAGG
rnacentral:rRNA from 1 species